UACGUAGGGUGCGAGCGUUUAAUCGGAAUUACUGGGCGUAAAGCGUGCGCAGGCGGUUCGUUAAGUCAGCUGUGAAAGCCCCGGGCUCAACCUGGGAACUGCGGUUGAAACUGGCGAACUAGAAUCUGGCAGAGGGGGGGUGGAAUUCCACGUGUAGCAGUGAAAUGCGUAGAGAUGUGGAGGAACACCGAUGGCGAAGGCAGCCCCCUGGGCUAAGAUUGACGCUCAGGCACGAAGGCCAGGGGAGCAAACGGG
rnacentral:rRNA from 1 species